rnacentral:rRNA from 1 species
UAGGUCGACCCGCUGAAUUUAAGCAUAUCACUAAGCGGAGGAAAAGAAACUAACCAGGAUUCCCUCAGUAACGGCGAGUGAAGGGGGAAGAGCCCAGAACCGAAGCCUGCGCCAGGUUUGACGCUAGGCCAUGUGGUGUUGAGGUGGACCUGCGCGAUUGCUGCCCCAUUCGAAGUCCAACACUGAGUAUGGCUCCAAUAAUUUGGCCCAGAGAGGGUGAAAGGCCCGUGCGAAUGGGGAAUCAGAUAGGUGCAAGGCAGUUGCCCGGGUUGACCUUAGAGUCGGGUUGUUUGAGAUUGCAGCCCAAAUCGGGUGGUAGACUCCAUCCAAGGCUAAAUACUGGCACGAGUCCGAUAGCGAACAAGUACCGUGAGGGAAAGUUGAAAAGUACUUUGAAAAGAGAGUAAACAGUACGUGAAACCGCAUAGAGGUAAACGGGUGGCGUCAAGCUGCAAGCCCGGAGGAUUCAGUCGGUCAGUGUGUAGAUUGCAUGCGCCCGGCGCAUGGAACUGUCCCAGUCUUACCUCCCCCUGGAGACAGGGGGGCCUGGGGGCUGAUGGCGGUCUCACCGCUGUCGCCUCGAGGGCAGGUGUCCUGGUUGGUUGCCGGAGCCUGAGGUAGGCUGAAGCAUAAGGGACUGUCUGGCCGAUGCACUUCCUCCGCUACCUACAUGGUGGUGGACACCACGAUCGGCGGGACUGCCAGUCUGCCACGGUCAGGUGCUGCCCAGUCAACCGGUCAGCCGGUUGGUUGGCUCACUAUCACAGGCAAGCUUGGUGUAACGGUGUUCAGGGCUUCUUUUACUAGAGCCCCAGGGCAUGUUAUCGGGCACCGCUUGCAAACGGUUGACCACACCAAGGGUCGACAGAGCCUGGUGUGUCCUGGCUCAACCGGUGGACCGUGGUGGUAUGAAUAACUGUGCAGGGCGUCGUAGUUAGCGGUCCUAUAAUUACGUGGCCUUGCGGCUGCGGGGUGCACACGCCGUCUGUCGCGGAGGCAACAGGUGGGCCGCCGAAGCUGGUUGCCGUUGGGAUGGUGUGACUGUCUUGGGUAGCCUGUGCAAAGCAGGCCCCGCAGUGGCUACCCAGCGGAUGGCCUCAGUGACGGUGGCCUGUACGUGCUGCGCCUAAAUUUUGUAGAGGGCCUAACAAUCUGUGGUGUUGUGGUAGACGAGCUACCCGACCCGUCUCGAAACACGGACCAAGGAGUUUAACAUGUGCGCGAGUCAUUGGGUCCUACGAAACCCAGAGGCGCAGUGAAAGUGAAGUGGAGCCUGUGCGUCUGUGUCUCUCUGAGUGUGAUGGUGUGUGUGUGUGUGUGUGAGUGAGUGAGUGUUUGAGGCUGUGUGUUGCUUUAUCGGCACGCACAGACAAAGCACGCACCCACGCAUGCAUGCACGCACGCACGCACACACUGGCACAUACGUACACCUCUGUGUGGUGAGAUCCCGUCGUUACUCGCGCGCACGCAUGCAUACACGCGCUGGUGGCUGGCAGUGGGAAGAGCGGGCUAGGCUCUGCUCUGCUCCCGCUGCUCUCUGCUCUACCGUGUACUGUGCAGGGGCACCGGGCAUAGAGCGACGGGCGCAUCACCGGCCCGUCCCAUGGUGUGGUCGUUGGUAGCUGUGAGGGACCAGGCAUGCCGUUUUUCAACUGCCUGUCUGCCCUCGCCUGCCAGCGCGUCACCGGGGCGGAGCAGGAGCGCGCAUGUUGAGACCCGAAAGAUGGUGAACUAUGCUUGCGCAGGUUGAAGCCAGAGGAAACUCUGGUGGAGGACCGCAGCGAUUCUGACGUGCAAAUCGAUCGUCAAACGUGAGUAUAGGGGCGAAAGACUAAUCGAACCAUCUAGUAGCUGGUUCCCUCCGAAGUUUCCCUCAGGAUAGC